rnacentral:rRNA from 1 species
AUGCUUAAAAUAGACCUGGCUAAAGCUUUUGAUCGCUUGGAAUGGAAUUUUAUUGUCUCAGCUCUUUCUCGUAAAGGGCUGCAUGGUCAUUUCAUCAAUCUUGUGCAUGCUUGCAUUUCCUCACCUACUUUCACUGUCCUUAUUAAUGGUCAGCCUUCGCCCAAAUUUAAGUCUCGCAGAGGUGUCAGACAGGGUUGUCCUAUGUCUCCUUAUCUUUUUGUUCUUGCUAUCAAUGAGCUUUCCAUCAUGCUUAAUGAAGCUGCGCAGGCCAAUCAUUUGCAAGGCAUCAUGCUAGGACCAAAUUGCCCUGCUAUUCACUCUCUCCUUUUUGCAGAUGAUCUUUUGGUCUGUGGACAGGCUACUGCUCAGGAGGCCCAGACUAUGUCUUGUUUGAUUCAACAUUUUUGUUCCCUCUCUGGUCAAACACCUAAUUGG